UACGAAGGGAGCUAGCGUUGUUCGGAAUCACUGGGCGUAAAGCGCACGUAGGCGGAUUUGUAAGUCAGGGGUGAAAUCCCGGGGCUCAACCUCGGAACUGCCUUUGAUACUGCGAAUCUUGAGUCCGAUAGAGGUGGGUGGAAUUCCUAGUGUAGAGGUGAAAUUCGUAGAUAUUAGGAAGAACACCGGUGGCGAAGGCGGCCCACUGGAUCGGUACUGACGCUGAGGUGCGAAAGCGUGGGGAGCAAACAGG
rnacentral:rRNA from 1 species